UACGUAGGGGGCUAGCGUUGUCCGGAAUCAUUGGGCGUAAAGAGCGUGUAGGCGGUCCGGUAAGUCCGCUGUGAAAGUCGGGGGCUCAACCCUCGAAUGCCGGUGGAUACUGUCGGGCUAGAGUGCGGAAGAGGCGAGUGGAAUUCCUGGUGGUAGCGGUGAAAUGCGCAGAUAUUCGGAAGAACACCGGUGGCGAAGGCGGCUAUCUGGCCCGUAAUUGACGCUGAGGCGCGAAAGCGUGGGGAGCAAACAGG
rnacentral:rRNA from 1 species